CCUUGGGAUGUGCGUUCUGCUUGACUUCCGGGCUCCCAGAGGCUGCUCCAAGGACAUGGCAUUGAGAUAGCGAUGCGGUGUCUAGAGACCAGCUGGACCGUGUGUAUGUGACUCAACCCAGUUAAUGCCUCUGUAUAAACUUUCAAGAUCUGGCAGGCGGGUGCGGAAAUCUACCCCUCUUGCGGCCGGCCACCCAAGACAAGCCUUGAGAGAACAUGUAUGAAACCCUGGGCUGAUAAAAAUGCCUACUAGGGGGUCGAUACCCUCUUCACCCUCACUGCCCUCAAGGUUUAUGAAGAUAACUGGGCUGGAUUGACCGUCCCCUCCUUCGCUGGCUUUCCCCGGCGCUCUAUAAGCUUGCUUCAGGGCAAGCCCGGAGGCAGCAAGGGAAUCAACUCUACCAUUCAUCUCCCAAGAGGCACCGAAAGUUCUAAGGAGAGAAGACGUGUGGAACGGAGGCAAGGGUGGGGCUGCUGGAAGGGCCGGGCCAGAAGUCUCUGAAUCUUCAACUCCAGAC